rnacentral:rRNA from 1 species
GAUGAACGCUGGCGGCGUGCCUAAUACAUGCAAGUCGAGCGAACGGACGAGAAGCUUGCUUCUCUGAUGUUAGCGGCGGACGGGUGAGUAACACGUGGAUAACCUACCUAUAAGACUGGGAUAACUUCGGGAAACCGGAGCUAAUACCGGAUAAUAUUUUGAACCGCAUGGUUCAAAAGUGAAAGACGGUCUUGCUGUCACUUAUAGAUGGAUCCGCGCUGCAUUAGCUAGUUGGUAAGGUAACGGCUUACCAAGGCAACGAUGCAUAGCCGACCUGAGAGGGUGAUCGGCCACACUGGAACUGAGACACGGUCCAGACUCCUACGGGAGGCAGCAGUAGGGAAUCUUCCGCAAUGGGCGAAAGCCUGACGGAGCAACGCCGCAUGAGUGAUGAAGGUCUUCGGAUCGUAAAACUCUGUUAUUAGGGAAGAACAUAUGUGUAAGUAACUGUACACAUCUUGACGGUACCUAAUCAGAAAGCCACGGCUAACUACGUG